UAUGGCCACAUCACAUUGAAACAUCAGUUCCUGUAUGAUCACCAGAGCUAAGCAACAUUCAGCUUGAUCAGUAUCUAGAUGGGUGAUGACUUGGGAAUACCAGGUGCUGCAAG